GACGAACGCUGGCGGCGUGCCUAAUACAUGCAAGUAGAACGCUGAAGAGAAGAGCUUGCUCUUCUUGGAUGAGUUGCGAACGGGUGAGUAACGCGUAGGUAACCUGCCUGGUAGCGGGGGAUAACUAUUGGAAACGAUAGCUAAUACCGCAUGAUAUUAAUUGUCGCAUGAUAAUUAAUUGAAAGAUGCAAUUGCAUCACUACCAGAUGGACCUGCGUUGUAUUAGCUAGUUGGUGAGGUAACGGCUCACCAAGGCGACGAUACAUAGCCGACCUGAGAGGGUGAUCGGCCACACUGGGACUGAGACACGGCCCAGACUCCUACGGGAGGCAGCAGUAGGGAAUCUUCGGCAAUGGGGGGAACCCUGACCGAGCAACGCCGCGUGAGUGAAGAAGGUUUUCGGAUCGUAAAGCUCUGUUGUAAGAGAAGAACGGGUGUGAGAGUGGAAAGU
rnacentral:rRNA from 1 species